ACUGCCGGCGAGAGCGUGGGGCCCGGCUCAUCCCCACCUGGCCCGGGGCCCGCUGGAGACGCAGCAGGGGGACGCUCGGCCUCCGGCUAGGGUGGGGAAAGGGACGCUGUCCCCUGGAGGAAAGCCGGGGAGUCAAAGUUAAUGGUGCUGUGCUUCAAAUGGAGUGCUGACUGCCUCUCAGGCCCCGCUGUCUUCACCCAGAAAACAAUAAGCUUAAGGAAGAAGGCGAGCAGCCUGUAAUUAUUAUCAAGGAGAAAACAGUUCUAACAUCCAAAGUAAGAAGAUUUGAGCGCAUGGCUCUUUUAAAAAAUAUGUUAAAUUAAGAAACCUCACUUCCUGACUUUAUAUUAAUAAUAUUAACCCAUUUUCUAUCAGAAGAGUUGCAAGUAUUUUUCCCAGGAUGCAGUUGACCUUUCAUUUUGCUUUUGGUGUUCUCUGGUGGGAGAUUUUUGUCGGUUAUAAAGCAAAUCUCUCUUAUGCCCCUGAUGAGUGAUAAUGCAUCUAUUGUUUCACUAUAAUGGUUAAGAGGUUUCCUGCCUUAGUUCCUGCAUUUAAUAUCUGUACAAAGUAGAAGU